rnacentral:lncRNA from 1 species
CCUAAGAAAUUUACUAAUAAUCGAAAGCAAUUACACGCUUAAAAUUUUGUUAAUAAAUUUAUGCUAAAAUUUAUUACAGAAAAAUUUUGGUACCUACUACCUAUCUAUCUACCUACCUAUUUGUUGAAGUGACCUCACCCAAAUGAAGUACCUCUUUUGCCAUAAAAAUAAGAAAUGUUCUUUGAAUUGUUGCUAGCAACGAACCAACGUUCGAACCAAAUGCUUAUGAUGACUGGCAAGCUGGGAGAGGGACUUUAUCACAAAGGCAAUGCAACCUAUGUCUUAUCAAUCACCAUUUCUCAGGUAAUUUGUGAUUACUAUUGAAGUUCUCAUUCUGAAGAAAUAAGCACACAGAGAUGGUGAAUAAUAACAUAGAAACAUAUAAUCACAACUUUAUUCCUUAUGGUGUAGACAUAGAAGCAAGGAUCCUGUAAAGACUGGAAGGCUAGGUUCUGAUGUAUUGCUUUUUGAUGAAAUUGAGACACAUAUAUGGCUUCAAAGAAGAAUCCACUUCGGGAUUUCUUCUUUAUAUAUUGACAAGAUUUCAACCACCUGAUUUACACCUGGAAUAUUAUGCUGCUUGUGGACCAGGACCUUAGACCAGGUUAAAAGUAAUUCAGGAGAUUUCACCUGCCCAUUGACUAAAAACCUACAUAAUCAAUUCCAUCAUAAGAAACCUAAAAAUGAAUCAGUGUGAAGUUAACACAAUAAAACACGACACACAUUUCAUUGUUUCCCUUUAAUUGUUAUUAAUGUUGUAGCGGGAGCGAUGAUUCGGCUCGACCGCCAUCAAAGGGAAG